UAAUUCCAGCUCCAAUAGUGUAUAUUAGAGUUGUUGCAGUUAAAAAGCUCGUAGUUGGAUUUCUGCUGUGGUCAUCCGGUACCGCCCGUAUGGGUGCGCACCUGGUUUGGCUCCGGCUUUCUUCCUGUAGCCGUCCGCGCUUAAUUGCGUGUACUGUGUUACGGAACUUUUACUUUGAGAAAAAUAGAGUGUUUCAAGCAGGCUUGUCGCCCUGAAUACUUCAGCAUGGAAUAAUAGGAUAGGACCUUGGUUCUAUUUUGUUGGUUUCUAGGACCAAGGUAAUGAUUAAUAGGGACAGUUGGGGGCAUUCGUAUUUAACUGUCAGAGGUGAAAUUCUUAGAUUUGUUAAAGACGAACUACUGCGAAAGCAUUUGCCAAGGAUGUUUUCAUUAAUCAAGAACGACAGUAGGGGGUUUGAAGACGAUUAGAUACCGUCGUAAUCUCUACCAUAAACUAUGCCGACUAAAGAUAGGGAAAUGCCUACCUUGCUUCUCCUG
rnacentral:rRNA from 1 species